GACUCUCGGCAACGGAUAUCUCGGCUCUCGCAUCGAUGAAGAACGUAGCGAAAUGCGAUACUUGGUGUGAAUUGCAGAAUCCCGUGAACCAUCGAGUCUUUGAACGCAAGUUGCGCCCGAAGCCUUUCGGCCGAGGGCACGUCUGCCUGGGUGUCACGCA
rnacentral:rRNA from 1 species